rnacentral:misc_RNA from 1 species
AAAGGAAAGAAGGUAAGUAUAAAAAACUCAUAUGAAGUUAGUGUGGACUGCUUUAUUAUCUAGUCAUGUUCUGGGCUUGUAUGUAAAGGAGCAGAAUGGGGCCCAUGGACACAUUUCCAGAUUGACUGUAAAUUUCAGAAUUAGAAUUCUCAUUCUGUGUCUCUCUCUGAUUCAUUGCUGGAUGUGUGCAGGAUGAACUGGUUGCAAGGUUG